GCGUCCCCAAGUCAGGCGUGAA
rnacentral:rRNA from 1 species